AUGGCAAUCCGAACGCAGGGCCACCGGACGCAGCGCGACCCGCCAAACCUAACCGAGCACCAUGCCGGCGAGGAGCAGAGAAGCGCUGCUCGAGGCCAGGAACCACCAUGGUCCCGGGCUGCAGCCAAAACAUCAGGAGCACCAACACGCCCCACGCGCGCCACCGUGCACCUGCCGGAGACCAGAUCUGAAACGCCAUAG
rnacentral:rRNA from 1 species